rnacentral:rRNA from 1 species
CCAAUAGCGUAUAUUAAAGUUGUUGCAGUUAAAAAGCUCGUAGUUGAAUUUCGGGAUCAAAGGAUCGGUCAUGCCUUGGUAUGUACUGGUUUUAUUGGUUCUCACCUUCUAAAGAACCAUAAUGUCAUUCAUUUGAUGUUAUGGGGAAUUAGGACUGUUACCUUGAAAAAAUUAGAGUGUUUAAAGCAGGCUUACGCUUGAAUACAUUAGCAUGGAAUAAUGAAAUAGGACAUCAGAUUCUAUUUUGUUGGUUUCUAGGAUCGAUGUAAUGAUUAAUAGGGAUAGUUGGGGGCAUUAGUAUUCAAUUGUCAGAGGUGAAAUUCUUGGAUUUAUUGAAGACUAACUACUGCGAAAGCAUUUGCCAAGGAUGUUUUCAUUAAUCAAGAACGAAAGUUAGGGGAUCGAAGACGAUCAGAUACCGUCGUAGUCUUAACCAUAAACUAUGCCGACUAGGGAUCGGAUGAUGUUAAUUUUUUAAUGACUCAUUCGGCGCCUUACG